AUUAGGAAUCUUGCACAAUGGGCGAAAGCCUGAUGCAGCGACGCCGCGUGAGGGAGGAAGUCCUUCGGGAUGUAAACCUCUUUUAUCGGGGAAGAAAAAAAUGACGGUACCCGAUGAAUAAGCUCCGGCUAACUACGUGCCAGCAGCCGCGGUAAUACGUAGGGAGCGAGCGUUGUCCGAAGUUACUGGGCGUAAAGCGCGCGUAGGCGGGCUGUUAAGUGGGAGGUGAAAGGCUGGGGCUCAACCCCAUGCAGUGCCUCUCAUACUGGCGGUCUUGAGUUCGGUAGGGAGAAGUGGAAUGGCUGGUGUAGCGGUGAAAUGCGUAGAUAUCAGUCGGAACACCGGUGGCGAAGGCGGCUUCUUGGGCCGAAACUGACGCUGAGGCGCGAAAGCUGGGGGAGCGAACGG
rnacentral:rRNA from 1 species